GUGCUCGUUUGGGCAGCCCAUAUACUAACAUUGGAACAAUACAGAGAUUAGCAUGGCCCCUGAGCAAGGAUGACUUACAACUUCGUGAAGUGUUCCAUAUUUUU